GGCGGGACGAGUCAACGGAGGCCUGGUGGACGAAGGCAUGCAGCUGAGUACAAUCCAGAAAACAACAGAGGAGGAGUGCAGCAGCCAGAACAACCAGAGUAGCAUCACCAAAGAACUACAGACUCUUCACAACCUGCUCAAACUCUUGGUACAGGACCUCACCACACGGGUCAAGAAGGUUUCUGUCUCAUUUCUACUCUGAAGCUCACCUUCUCCUGCUCAAACUGCUGAUAAAUGUUUGUGCUGCUCUAAAGUCUGGUCUCCAGAACUUCCUAAAAACUCUCAAAGUCUCUUCUGCUGCAGGUUGCUUUGUAGAACUGUUCCAGAAAACCUCACUAAACCACAUGGAGGGGCCUCAAGAUAGUCGUCCAAAUGAAACCGUACAAAAACCAAACUAGUACAACCCAAACGCUAAAGUCUCCUGCAGCCUACCAGAGAACCUCUAGGAACAGAGAAUCAGGACAGGAACUCUUACCUUCUGGACAACCAACGCUGGUUCACAAACAAGAAUACAGAAUGUGUCUGACCAAAAACCUCUGAAGACUCACUACAGCCAAGAUAAAGACACAACCCAGCUGCAUCAAAUCCACUAAUCACUGCACACAUUAGCACCAUGUGCUAACUGUGGCUAAAGAACCACAUUUACCAAGACAAC
ensembl:lncRNA